UACGUAGGUGACAAGCGUUGUCCGGAUUUACUGGGCGUAAAGAGCGCGCAGGCGGUCGUUGAAGUCGAGUGUGAAAGCCCCCGGCUCAACUGGGGAGGGUCAUUCGAUACUGAUCGACUCGAAGGCAGGAGAGGGAAGUGGAAUUCCCGGUGUAGUGGUGAAAUGCGCAGAUAUCAGGAAGAACACCCGUGGCGAAGGCGGUUCUCUGGGACGGUACUGACGCUGAGACGCGAAAGCGUGGGGAGCGAACAGG
rnacentral:rRNA from 1 species